CUUCUUGCCCAAACUCUCUUCUCCUCUGAACUCUCUUUUCCCAACUCUUAUCUCUUCUCUACCUCUCAUCCACGCCAUGUCUAAACUCUAAACACAGUGAAUAAUUCACCGUGUUUGAAAAAAAUACAAUUAUAUGUAUUACGAAAAAAAUAUAAGUAUUAAAAAAAGGGAAUACAAAAAAUAUAAGUACGGAACAUGGUGAAUGGACCGUUCACCGUAAUUGAACACGAUGAAUGAUUUACCGUGUCUAAAAAAAAUAUAUCAUUUAUCGUGUUUGAACGCGAUGAAUGAUUCACAGUGUUCAACUUAUCACCCCUCUAGCUUUUACAAAAAUAAUUUAUAAAUUUAAAUUUUAUAAAAAUAUAUCUGUUUGUUAUAAUCGGAACGAUGAAAAAUAGAUCCAGAAAAUAAUUUAAUGCAGGAAAAGAAAAGAUAAGGAAAAAGUAUACCAAUAUUUACGUGGUUCGGCCAAUGACCUACGUCCACGGACGAAGACGGAGUAAAUACUUUAUUAAUGUCGAAAAAACGGAAUACAAAAAAGAUCUCUCAAAAAAUAACCAAAGCUUAAUUAGCCGCACCUAGCAAUUCCAAAAUU
rnacentral:lncRNA from 1 species